UACGUAGGGGGCGAGCGUUGUCCGGAUUUAUUGGGCGUAAAGAGCUCGUAGGCGGUGUGUCGCGUCGGCCGUGAAAACCUGGGGCUUAACUCUGGGCUUGCGGUCGAUACGGGCAUCACUGGAGUUCGGCAGGGGAGACUGGAAUUCCUGGUGUAGCGGUGAAAUGCGCAGAUAUCAGGAGGAACACCGGUGGCGAAGGCGGGUCUCUGGGCCGAUACUGACGCUGAGGAGCGAAAGCGUGGGGAGCGAACAGG
rnacentral:rRNA from 1 species